CCUACGGGAGGCAGCAGUGGGGAAUAUUGCGCAAUGGGCGAAAGCCUGACGCAGCGACGCCGCGUGAGGGAUGACGGCCUUCGGAUCGUAAACCUCUGUCAGCAGGGAAGAACGGUCACUGUGCUAAUCAGCAGUGAAUUGACGGUACCUGCAAAGGAAGCACCGGCUAACUCCGUGCCAGCAGCCGCGGUAAUACGGAGGGGGCGAGCGUUAAUCGGAAUUACUGGGCGUAAAGCGCGCGUAGGCGGUAUGUCAAGUCAAGGGUGAAAUCCCCGCGCUCAACGUGGGAACUGCCUGUGAAACUGGCAGACUUGAGUGCGUGAGAGGAUGGUGGAAUUCGAGGUGUAGGAGUGAAAUGCGUAGAUAUCUGGAGGAACACCGGUGGCGAAGGUGACUAUCUGGCACAUAACUGACGCUGAGGAGCGAAAGCGUGGGUAGCAAACAGGAUUAGAUACCCCAGUAGUC
rnacentral:rRNA from 1 species